GACGAACCGAGCGAACGUUAUUCGGAAUCACUGGGCUUAAAGGGUGCGUAGGCGGGCACGCGAGUCAGGGGUGAAAUCCCACGGCCCAACCGUGGAAGUGCCUCUGAUACCGCGGGCCUCGAGGGGGAUAGGGGCGUGCGGAACUUCCGGUGGAGCGGUGAAAUGCGUAGAUAUCGGAAGGAACACCGGUGGCGAAAGCGGCGCGCUGGAUCCCUACUGACGCUGAGGCACGAAAGCGUGGGUAGCAAACAGG
rnacentral:rRNA from 1 species